UGCCAGAUUGAUUUGCACUAGGGUUUCAGUCUUUAUUCUUAGCAGGGAAAAUAAUACAUUCAUUAUUCACUACCCUUCCCUCCCUUCUUCCAUACAUGUAUCCAUUAAUAAACAAUUGUUAAUAUUUACCAUUCCCUAGGCCCUGUGAUGGACUCUGGGAGCUAGAGAUGGUUAAAGUCUGGCCGAAUCUGGGCCCUUGUAGUCACCAGGACAUAUUAAUGACAAGAUGGCAUGGGAGUUCAGCUGAGGGAGAUAACAUCUUCACCCUUUUUUUUUUUUUCCCUUUCUUCCUUAGACAUUUAUGUGGUGUAAGAUUCUUUCUAAAACAACUCCUUGGAAAAGAGGACAUUUAAUUCAACAAUUUUUUGAACACUUAAUAUAUGCCCUGCAGUGAACUUGGAUCUAGGGCUACUGGGUUACUGCCGUGAACAAGACAGUGGCCUUUUUUAAAGGAGCACUUUGGGGGCAACAGCAAAGAGCAGUCAGCUGCUGGGUUGUGAGGACAAUCAGGCAGCCCUAUGGAAAGGCCCAUCUGGCAAAGAACUGAAGCCUCCUGCCAACAGCCAUGUGAGUGAUCCAUCUUGGAAUCGGAUUCUCAAGCCCCAGUCGAGCCUUCAGAUGACUGCAGCCCUGGCCCAACCACCUUAAAUGCAACCACAUGAGAGACCCUGAGCCAGAACCACCCAACCAAACUCUUCCCAGACUCGUGAUCCACAGAAACUGAGAGGGUGAUCAAGGUCAACAUCAACAGUGAUAAGUCAUGCCAAUGCCUGAGAAACUGCCACAGCAAGAGGAACAUGACAACUAAAUGCAGUGAGGAAUGCUGGAUGGAUCUUAGAAUAGAAUAAGGACACUAGAUAAAAACUAAGGAAAUCAGAAUAAACUAUUGAACUUUAAUUGAUAAA